rnacentral:rRNA from 1 species
UACGUAGGGUGCGAGCGUUAAUCGGAAUUACUGGGCGUAAAGCGUGCGUAGGCGGUUCUCCAAGUCCGUUGUGAAAUCCCCGGGCUUAACCUGGGAAUGGCAGUGGAAACUAGGGGACUUGAAUCUGGCAGAGGGGGGUGGAAUUCCACGGUGUAGCAGUGAAAUGCGUAGAGAUGCGGAGGAACACCGAUGGCGAAGGCAGCCCCCUGGGCUAACACUGACGCCUCAGGCACGAAAGCGUGGGGAGCAAACAGG